GCUCCGCUGACGAGUGGCGAACGGGUGAGUAAUACAUCGGAACGUGCCCAGUAAUGGGGGAUAGCUCGGCGAAAGCCGGAUUAAUACCGCAUACGCCCUGAGGGGGAAAGUGGGGGACCGCAAGGCCUCACGUUAUUGGAGCGGCCGAUGGCUGAUUAGCUAGUUGGUAGGGUAAAGGCCUACCAAGGCGACGAUCAGUAGCUGGUCUGAGAGGACGAUCAGCCACACUGGGACUGAGACACGGCCCAGACUCCUACGGGAGGCAGCAGUGGGGAAUUUUGGACAAUGGGGGAAACCCUGAUCCAGCAAUGCCGCGUGUGCGAAGAAGGCCUUCGGGUUGUAAAGCACUUUUGUCAGGGAAGAAAUCCUUUGGGCUAAUACCCUAGGGGGAUGACGGUACCUGAAGAAUAAGCACCGGCUAACUACGUGCCAGCAGCCGCGGUAAUACGUAGGGUGCAAGCGUUAAUCGGAAUUACUGGGCGUAAAGCGUGCGCAGGCGGUUGUGUAAGACAGGUGUGAAAUCCCCGGGCUUAACCUGGGAAUUGCAUUUGUGACUGCACGACUAGAGUGUGUCAGAGGGGGGUGGAAUUCCACGUGUA
rnacentral:rRNA from 1 species